rnacentral:rRNA from 1 species
UACGUAGGGUGCGAGCGUUGUCCGGAAUUAUUGGGCGUAAAGGGCUCGUAGGCGGUUUGUCGCGUCGGGAGUGAAAACUCAGGGCUUAACCCUGAGCCUGCUUCCGAUACGGGCAGACUAGAGUUCGGUAGGGGAGUCUGGAAUUCCUGGUGUAGCGGUGAAAUGCGCAGAUAUCAGGAGGAACACCGGUGGCGAAGGCGGGACUCUGGGCCGAUACUGACGCUGAGACGCGAAAGCGUGGGGAGCAAACAGG